AGGGAGGAUUCCCUCUUUUUCUAUUGACUGGAAUAAUUUCAGAAGGAAUGGUACCAGCUCCUCCUUGUACCUCUGGUAGAAUUCAGCUGUGAAUCCGUCUGGUCCUGGACUUUUUUCGGUUGAAGCAACUCAGCUCAAGAGGACAGCUUUGACCUCCUAUGAUUUCAUCUCCACCACAACCAAUCAUCAGCAGGCAUCCAUUUCUAGCCAUCCCCCCUUCCCCUAAACUGCCUUUGAAAGUCCCCUAACCUAUAGGCUUUAGAGAAGAUCGACUUGAGUACUAACUCCAUCUCCCACAUGGUGUGGCCAGCCUCAAGUCAGUUUAAGUCUUUCUUUACUGUAAUGCCAUGGUCUUUAAUUGUGCAGUGGGCAGAAAGCACCUGUUGGGCAGUUACAACACCAUCAGUCUGCUGAUUUUCUUUCUGUGUCUCUGGCUUCUAGUUCUCAGUUUCAUUUUCUUUCUCAUUUCUUGCUUUCAUUGUUUCUCAUUCUACACUUUCUCCUUAGGAGAGAACUUUUAUUGCCAUGGAUACCAUCUUUGUGCUCAAAGAGCCCACACACAUACACACAUAUAUAUUUCCAUCCAAGUUCUUCCUUCUGAAUUUGAACCUGCUCCUCUAUAGCAUUCCUUUUCUCAGCAUAUGACCCUCUAUUCUCUCUUCACCCAGUUGCUAAAGACAGAAAAUUGAAAUCAUUUUCGUUAUGGCUUUGUCCUGAUGCCUCCCCUCUCCGCAUCACCCAAUAUGAAGCUCAGACUAUUCUGAAUCCAAAUUUAUUUGUUAAAUUGUCCUUCAUUUCUACAUUUUUGUUGCUACUUUUAAUUAGCUCUAACCAUCUUUCUCAUUUGGACUACUCCACAAUGAAGCUUCUGUAGCUAUACAAUGAUCUUUUAAAAUGCAAAUUGGACUCUGUCUUUGUCUUUCAUCUCUGUUUUAACAUAGAAGAAUUACUAAGAGUCUUUCAUUUUAACAUCAAAGGCCUCAGAAAUCUGGUCAGCUGAAUCCAGUAUCAUGUGGUAUCACUCCGUCACUUGUUUUCUAAGCUGGCCACAUUGGUCUUCUUUCAAUUCUUAAUAGUACCAAGCAUUUUUGUGCCUCAAAGACUUUUCACAUGUUAGUACCUUCACCUGGAAUGCUUUUAUUUCCACCCUUUACUUUGCUAAUCUUACUUAUACUUCACAUCUUAGCUCAAAUAUCACUUCUCUACAUAGGCUGUCUUUGAGUCUCAGAUCUAAAUUAGAUUUCUCUUGUUAUUUUUGCUCUUAUAGCACUUAUCACAAAUUAUAGUGUAGAUCAAUUUAUCUCUUUGUCUCUUAAACUAGUCUGUGAACUCCAUGAGAGCUGACACCAGGUGCGCUUUGUUCAAUCUCAGACUUCACCCUUUGUAGCCAUUUACUAUAUCAAUAAAUGAAUAAUAAAUAUGUCAAUAACUAAAUAAAUGAGUGUUUGCCAGUAAGUUACCUAAGCUGUCUGACUCCCAUCUAUGAAGUUGAUACAAGAAUUUCUUUCUUACCAGGUUGUUCUAUUAACUGAUAGAGCAAAUACUUCUACCCAGCAUAAAUUCACCACAAAAAUUUGCUUCCUCUGCCCCACCCUUCACCCUAUCCACGCCAGCAGCCUGGUAGAGCAGAAAAAGCUUUACAGUUUGAUGUAACUGAAUUUAGUUUUUUACUUUCUAGUUAUUUCCUGUGUAACCCUAGUCAAGUUGCUUAACAUCUUUGAGCCUGUUCUCUCAUCUAUAAAACUGAUAUAAUAAUAUCUACCCUCAUAGGAUUGUGGCUAGGAUUAAAUAAAGUAACAUGUAUAAAGCACCCAGCAUGUGCACAUUCCAUAGAUGUGACUUCUCAGUCUCUGAAUACCCAAGGUACCAUAUAUAGCAUAAUUUUUCAAUAUUUUUAUCCAAAAUCACAUAUGUUUUUCACAGGUUUAAGCUAAAAUAUUGUUUUAGAAGGCAAAUAAACCUGAGAAGCGUGUCAAAUUGCUAUCUUCUAAAGGCACAUGAAGCACCUGGGGAGCUUAAUCAAAAUGCAAAUUCUAGGCCCCCACUCACUGACAUCUGAUUCACUAGAUCUGGAGUGAGCCCAGGAAUUUGCAUUUUGAUAAAGCCCACAAAGUGAAUCAGGUGUUCCAUUAACUUCACCUUGAAGACCAGUAUUUUCAUGUAUCCAAGUUUGAGACAUGGUGAUAUUUUCAACUCCAAACUCCAAAAGUUUGCAUGAGCCACAGUUGAUAAAUGAGCCUAUGUUUAGUCGAAGGGCACAUUUAUUUCCUUAAGAGUUGUGGAUUUAUUCAUGCUGCUUUAUGAAAUAAACUUAAUGUUGAACUUAGGAGAUAUAAGAGCAACUGCUUUCACAAAGGCACUGUUUAUCAGACUAUAAAAUAAAUUGUACAUGAAUCUUAACUCUCAAAGCUGUGCAAAUUGUCUUAUGUCUAGCAAGGAACUCUACCAGUGAGAAUAACAGGCAUUAUAGAUGUACAUAUGCUUCGGAAAUAAUGCAUUUUCUAGGAAAAAAACCUGCUGUUACUCAUUAGCCUGACAGGUAGGCUUGCAUUUUAUAAAGGACAUACUUUAGAAGAAUCAUUACUAUACAGUAGUAGUAAUGAGAUAGAAAAAUAUUAGGGGUAAAACAAUGAAAGAGUGAUGUAAACAGGGUUUUUUGUGAAUUUAAAAAGAAAAAUUAAGAAAGUUACAAAGAACUCUUUAUAAUAAUCAGUGUCAAAAUACACUACCUUAUUUUUUCUCAUAAAAUGAUUGAUAGUAAACAUUUUAGAUCUCAAUGGCUUCUAUGUAAAAGCCAUUUAGUUGUCUUUUUUUAAAACCAAAAGUGAAAAAGAAAAUUGAGUACCAAGUUACUAAGACACUCAAGGCAUAAAAGUCUAUAAAGACUAUACAGAAUAUCACCAGGCGCCAUAUGCACGCAACAAGCAUCCCAGAGUUGCUUCAGCUUUUUAAUAACUAUAUGAUUGAUUUUUGUAUACUCCAUAAAAUAUUUUUUAAAAACUCAUUAAAAUGCAUAAAUGCAUAAUACUUACAUUGAUAAAUAUAAAUUUACUUGCUAAGACAUGAAAGAUGAAAUUUAUAUCCUCCGUCUUGCUAUGUUGGUGCAUUUUCCUCCAAAUUUGUGUAAAUACUGUUCUGAGUUUUGCAUUUGUAACUGAGAUGACUCAAAAAC
rnacentral:lncRNA from 10 species